UACGUAGGGUGCGAGCGUUGUCCGGAAUUAUUGGGCGUAAAGAGCUCGUAGGCGGUGUGUCGCGUCGGCCGUGAAAACCUGGGGCUCAACUCUGGGCGUGCGGUCGAUACGGGCAUCACUGGAGUUCGGCAGGGGAGACUGGAAUUCCUGGUGUAGCGGUGAAAUGCGCAGAUAUCAGGAGGAACACCGAUGGCGAAGGCAGGUCACUGGGCCGCAACUGACGCUGAGGAGCGAAAGCAUGGGGAGCGAACAGG
rnacentral:rRNA from 1 species